UACGUAGGGAGCAAGCGUUGUCCGGAAUCAUUGGGCGUAAAGAGCGCGUAGGCGGCCCUGUAAGUCCGUUCUGAAAGUCAAAGGCUCAACCUUUGAAAGCGGAUGGAUACUGCAGGGCUAGAGUCCGGAAGAGGCGAGUGGAAUUCCUGGUGUAGCGGUGGAAUGCGCAGAUAUCAGGAGGAACACCUGUGGCGAAGGCGGCCCCCUGGUUGGAUACUGACGCUGAUACGCGAAAGCGUGGGGAGCAAACAGG
rnacentral:rRNA from 1 species